rnacentral:rRNA from 1 species
ACUCCUACGGGAGGCAGCAGUAGGGAAUCUUCCACAAUGGGCGAAAGCCUGAUGGGGCAACGCCGCGUGGGUGAAGAAGGUCUUCGGAUCGUAAAACCCUGUUGUUAGAGAAGAAAGUGCGUGAGAGUAACUGUUCACGUUUCGACGGUAUCUAACCAGAAAGCCACGGCUAACUACGUGCCAGCAGCCGCGGUAAUACGUAGGUGGCAAGCGUUAUCCGGAUUUAUUGGGGCGUAAAGGGAACGCAGGCGGUCUUUUAAGUCUGAUGUGAAAGCCUUCGGCUUAACCGGAGUAGUGCAUUGGAAACUGGGAGACUUGAGUGCAGAAGAGGAGAGUGGAACUCCAUGUGUAGCGGUGAAAUGCGUAGAUAUAUGGAAGAACACCAGUGGCGAAAGCGGCUCUCUGGUCUGUAACUGACGCUGAGGUUCGAAAGCGUGGGUAGCAAACAGGAUUAGAUACCCUGGUAGGAUAGCG